UUGUGUAGAAAAGGGAAAACGAUUUCAUCCUAUCAUACACCCCUUUAGCCCUUUGUUUCCUUUCCCGCCCAAACACUGAAACUUAAAAAUGUCUCAGCCGAUCUCCGUAGACAUUCUCUCCGAUGACGACGGCGAUGAUUACACCGUCCGUGGAAACGACAUCGUUGAUCUAUCAACGCCGGUGACAAUUCCAUCAAAGAAGAAGCAAAGAACGGAAAGGUCUAGUAAUUGGAAGCCUACAGUUUUUGUGAUCGAUGACGAUGAUGAUCCCACACCGUUGAAACCUUCAAAGUUCACUCCUUCCUUUGUCGCUGGUACUCCUAUAUCGUCUGAUUUCUCCAAACAUGAUUUCUCCUUUGUUAAAUGCUCUUCAAUUUUGGACCCUAAAUCCUCAUGUCUUGAUUUGACCCCAUCCAAGGUUGCUGAAACGCCGGCAUCUGAACUUUCAAAAUUUAGUGUUCCAAUAGUCAGAUGUACUAAAGCUAAUGCUGAUUUGCAGAGUCGCUCUUCUUCAAUUAUAAACCACAACGAAGAUGGCGGAGGUCAUGGGUUCAAUCCUUGGAAAUACUCUCUGGCAGAAAUGCAAGGAAUUGAUCGAGUAAUUUGUUUGGAGUCUGAUAAUGAGUCCGAGAAGAGUUAUAAUUGUGGUGCCUGGAAGGAGGAGGAGAAAGUUUGUUCCACGGAGGCGGUUGUAAAGGAGACAGAAUUGAGCUCCAGACCUUUCGUGUCCACUUUUUCUCUUGGUGUUGACAAUUUUAUGCGAAUGCUAGAGGAUGUUUCUCAUCGAAAUUUGACUGAAGCCGGUCCUUCUCUGGACUAUGGUCAUCAUUAUGAAGAAAAUGAUUCUUUGGAGCCAAACAAUGAGGUUUCAAGACCAAAGGGCAAAGGUAAAGGCAAUAGAAGUAAAAGAAGCAGUGGGGAUGAAGCAACAGGGCAAAUGAGGAAGUCAAAGGAAGAACAGCUUCGUCUAAAGGAAGAAAAGAAGUAUCAGAAAGAGCAAGAGAAAUUGCAAAAGGCAGCCGAAAGGGCGGAAGCUGCUGAGAAGAAAAAAAUACAAAAGGAAAAGCAGAAGUGGGAAAAGGGAAAGUUAGCACAGAAGUCUAUUGUAGCUCAAGUUGACACUAAGGUUGUGGAACUAGGCUCAAUUGCAGGCCAUUUGCUAACAAGGCUUGCGGAGAAAGGUCUUUCCUAUCAAAUUAAAUCAAAUCCGAUUGAGAAGUCUAUUGUGUGGUCAAUGAGUGUCCCAGAGGAACUAUCUAAGAUCGCAUCUGAAGUUAAUGUUUCAUAUGUAUUAUUCAUAUUUGAGGCCGAAGAGUUUUGCAACCUUGUGAACAGCGGAUCAUUGAUGAGUCAUGUUUCCAGUGUUCAACGCCUUUAUCCUCUUCAUACAGUUUGUUAUCUCACAAACAAGCUUUUGGCAUACAUCAACAAAAGGGAACAAGGACAAUACAAGGACCCUGCCAAUCAUACUGGUUGGAGACGACCACCUAUAGAGGAGGUUCUAUCAAAAUUAACAAUUAGCUUUGCUAAGGUGCACUAUAGGCACUGUGUCGAUGAAGCUGAAUUAGCUGAACAUGUAGCUGGGCUGACUUGCAGCCUAGCUUCUUGUCAGUUUAGAAACAAGUUAACAAGACUAUCUGUUAAUGCAAAUGGUUCUCUUAUUCCCAAGGAUUGCGUUGACAAGAACCAGAUAAAAAAGAGCCCAUGGUUGAAAGCAUUGGUGGCUGUUCCAAAGGUUCAGCCGCGAUUUGCCAUGGCCAUAUGGAAGAAAUAUCCCACAAUGAAAUCUCUUUUGCAUGUUUACAUGGAUCCAAGUAAAUCAGUGCAUGAGAAAGAAUUUUUGCUGAAAGACUUGAGAGUGGAAGGGUUGGUGUCAGAUGAUAGAAGAUUGGGAGAGAGGUGUUCAAAGAGAGUUUACAGAAUAUUGAUGGCCCAAUCUGGAAACAGCAAGACAGAUGAAAUCGAGUGUGGAGCUGAUUUCUUCAGUCAACAUUCUGCUGAAUGAUCUAUAAUCUUUUGCAACAUCUAUGCACACCUUGACUAAUUCAACGGACAACUUGUCCACCCCAUAGGCACAUGUAUUCAAGAAGAGCAGAUUAUCAUAUUUAUUGAAGAAUUAUGAAUCAUGUCGAUUUUGAUGAAGUUCUAGAAAUUGUGCUUACACUUGAGGAUCUUUUUCAGAGAAGAGAAAGGAGCUUUUGGAGGAUGAAUAUAAAGAAUUGAAAUUGGUGGUUAAAGGAGUGAAUUUGUAGGCGGAUGUCGCCAUUAUUCGUAAUUAUCACGAGAUAUCUAUGAAGUUUUAAUGUCACCAUUAUUCGUAAUUAUCACGAGAUAUCUAUGAAGUUUUAAUGAAAAGAAGGGUUUUUGAUAAA